rnacentral:rRNA from 1 species
CCUACGGGAGGCAGCAGUGAGGAAUAUUGCUCAAUGGGCGAGAGCCUGAACCAGCCACGUCGCGUGAAUGAUGACGGCCCUACGGGUUGUAAACUUCUUUUGUCAGGGAGCAAUUGGGUCCACGUGUGGGCUUAGCGAGAGUACCUGAAGAAAAAGAAUCGGCUAACUCCGUGCCAGCAGCCGCGGUAAUCCGGGGGAAGCGAGCGUUAUCCGGAUUUAUGGGGGUUAAGGGAUUCGUAGGCGGGAUAUCAAGUCAGCGGUAAAAAUUCGGGGCUAACUCCCGUCGUGCCGUUGAAACUGGUGAUCUUGAGUGGACGAGAGGAAUGCGGAAUGCGUGGUGUAGCGGUGAAAUGCAUAGAUAUCACGCAGAACACCGAUUGCGAAGGCAGCAUACCGGCGCCCAACUGACGCUGAAGCACGAAAGCGUGGGUAGCGAACAGGAUUAGAUACCCCAGUAGUC